AGAGUUUGAUCAUGGCUCAGGACGAACGCUGGCGGCGUGCCUAACACAUGCAAGUCGAACGAUGAAGAGUUGAAAAAUCUUUUAGAUGCUUCAGCUUGGAUUAGUGGCGGAUGGGUGAGUAUCGCGUGAGCAACCUGCCCUGUACUGCGGGAUAGCCAAGGGAAACUUUGAUUAAUACCGCAUAGGGCUAAAACCUCGCAUGGGGAUUUAGUGAAAGAACUUCGGUACAGGAUGGGCUCGCGUCUGAUUAGCUAGUUGGUGUGAUAAAAGCGCACCAAGGCUGCGAUCAGUAACCGGCUUGAGAGAGUGAACGGUCACACUGGAACUGAGACACGGUCCAGACUCCUACGGGAGGCAGCAGUGGGGGAUAUUGCACAAUGGAGGAAACUCUGAUGCAGCGACGUCGCGUGAGCGAAGAAGGAAUUCGUUUCGUAAAGCUCUGUCCUAUGGGAAGAUAAUGACGGUACCAUAGGAGGAAGCCCCGGCUAACUACGUGCCAGCCGCCGCGGUAAUAC
rnacentral:rRNA from 1 species